UGGAGUACAGUGUCCUCCAGGAGCUCAGCUUGUAAACGGCUCCGUGUCUGCCUGUGACACAAUGCUAGGAUGCAGGGGGGAGAGUUGAGGUUUGGGACAGAAGGGAAUGGUGAGAUUCAAAGUCAAGAGGGGAACAUUUAAGUGGAUCAACUGCUUAAACGCAGGUCCAGUUUAAGAGAUGCCACACAAAGGCUGACAGCCAUCACAUGGUUAUAUACGUCUUAAAUUAGGUGGAAGGAAAGAGCUUGUGGAUGCUACACAACUGGCAGUCUGGGGGCUUUGAGAAGUGUUGCUGGAAGAGCAAUCUUUGCAUUGUGGUUUGGCUCUGACAACGUGUGUGACAACUGGAAAUCGCUGUUUGUUUCUAAACGGUAUCCAAAGGGGGCGUCAGAGACCCUCAGACUUUAAUUUCUUCUGAAAUCAGAGAUUGUGGAAAAGGUUUCCUUGUUUCUAGCACAAUUAACGAGGUGGUUAGCUCCACCCCAACCCCGGUUUAUCUUGAGUUUGUGCCCAAUUUUGAGCACAACUCUGAAAGAGAUGGCAGCAGCAAACUUCUUGGACAUUAAUAGCUCCUGCUUUUCUUUAAAUGCCUCGAGGAAAGAGAACCUGUUCCAGGAUGGACAAAAACCACAAAAGAAAGGUAAAAAAGUGGAGAAGAGGAAGAUGAAUGAAGAGGAAUUAUUGUUUCAACUAGCUACUGCUGCUCUAACUACUCUGGAGCUGUAACAAACUCUGCCUCCUUUAUCAGUUAUGGAAGAAACAACAAGAAACUAAGAACACUUAUGAACUUAGGUGCUCUUUGGAAGAAGUGUGUUGGGGGCUACCAAUGCUUGUUUUUGGAAUAUCUAGAACUGUGGGGUCCUAGUGGGAUGCAAGGACCCAACGGGAUGCACAAGAAAAUCCACUGGAGUGCAGGAGGAAAAUAUUCUUUGUACCAUUAAUAGAUAAAAUCAAAAAAUGUUUUAAAAA